GUUCUGUUCUGGUGCCCGACUGCAUCUGGACUGCGGGAACCACCAUCGGUUUUCAGUACAUAUUUUAGAGCACAGUGUGACAGGGCCAUUGAGUGACUUCAUUGCAACCAGUAUUGCUGACUAAUGCCUGUAUCAACACCUACCGCCGCCACUGGCCUUACAUUGAUUCCACGUCCAGUUUGUUUUCUCCAGAGAGAACUUUUCCACAUCGUUGGAACUAAUUGAGCUGGUAGCAUAGGAGUUCAAGAUAGCAGAGCUGCAGGGCAGCGGUAUCCAGAGGUAUCCAGGUCCCUGAUCUAUUGGAAGGAGAGCUGUGCACUUUGCUGAGCUCUGAGUCCUUGAUGUGACAGGGGAGCAGCCGCCUACAAGGACUGAUGUUUCUCUUCCUUCUCCUCAACUCCAAGUUCACAGUCUAGUGGAGAGAUGAAGAUAAACCAAUGGCUGUAAUUCUGUGUAAUGUGUCCUCUAAAUGAGACCCACGGAGUUCUACCUGAAUGCAGGAGAAGUAAUGGAUGUCUCUGAGGGACCUGUGCAGUCACAGAAGUCUUAAAAGCCUUCCUAAUCUCAGAAGUAUCUGGCCUGUGCUGCAGACUCCCUAGAGGGGCAGGGAACGGGGGAGCUUUUCUGAGAUGUCCAAGGGCAGCAAAGUGAGCUAUUGAGUUGUGGAAGAGAAAGAAGGAAUCCAAGGAGGCCGUGAUCUGUAGGCGAAAGGGAAGGAACAAUGGUCUUCGAGGAAGCUGGAAGCUUCAACUUGGAAGAAGCUGUCCCUCCAGAUACCUUCUCCCCACGACUGUGAUUGGCGGUCAGCAUCAGCGCAGCUACCCCAGGACACAGGGCCCAGAAUUCCUCACUCCCUUGCAGGUACAGCAAAAGGGGAUUUGGAACUCGGCCACUAGCACCCCAGACUCCAUCCUGAGACUGCUGGACUCCAGUCUUACCUCCAUAAUUCACUAGAUGGGGGCCCAUGGGCACAUCGCUAGACCUCUAUCUCUUUGCCAGUAAAACAGCAAUUGUGAAGUCUAGGACCUGAGUCUUUGAGUGGCUCUACCAGUGACUAUUUCUACCAAAUGAUGCUUGGACACCAAGACCCUGGAGUCUACAUGGAGUCCACUCGUUAUCCUCCCACGAUGUACUUGUUAUUCUCAAUAGAACGGUGUUACUGAGGGUGAUGACUGUGAGUGACAAACUGAGGGGCCAUUCAAAAAGGAUUGUUGAAUAUGUGCCACCCACAAAAAUCUGGACAGCCCCUGUUCUGUUUCCACCCACGGCCACGUUCAAAUAAACACCAGCCCAAGACUGACAGUCACCAAA